GCAGAAAUGUGGUCUGUCGCUUGUCAUCUUACGGUGGCAAGAGGAAAGUCCGGGCAACAUAGAGCAUCGCGUUUUCUAACGGAAAGCCGGCGGCGACGUCGGGGCGAUAUGUGACAGAAAAAAACCGCCGGCCUUCGGACCGGUAAGGGUGAAAAGGUGAGGUAAGAGCUCACCGGUCUCUCCGGCGACGGGGAGAGCCGCACAUCCCGCGAGUUGCAAGGCCAAAUAUACCGGCAGUUAAGGAUUGCUCGUCCAUUGCCGGGGGGUAGGCUGCUGAAGCUCUUGGGCAACCUUGCAGCUUAGAUAAAUGACAGACACCGUAACCUCGCGUUGCGGCACAUAACCCGGCUUAUAUCAUCUCUGCCUGC
rnacentral:RNase_P_RNA from 1 species